GACGUGAUAAGGUGGAAAUGAAGAUGGUCUCCUCCUCCUGAUUUCCAUAGUUUCGAGCUUAUCUCGCUGCCACUGGCCGUUACAGACACGCUCCAUUGCCAGCUGUUUACCCGAAUGGAGCAUCACUGCAACCACCGCACCACUGAAGCCCCUGAGCCACCGAUCCCAGCCCCGAUAACUAUCACUGUCUUACCGGCUUGGCAACCCACCGCAAGCCAGCCAUCCAUCCAGAUGCAAUGCCACCGAUCCGAUCCGAUGCGCUAUAAAUAGCAAUCUCAAUAGUUUUCCGCAACAACAACCAAAGUUUCCACUCCACUCUGCAGCGAAUUAUCAACAUCACCGGCCGACUGCUGCCUCUGGGCAAAUAAGCAAUCAUCGUGGCCUCUUCUGCCCACUCCACGUCCUCUUCGUGCUGAUCUCUUCACGUAAUCGCACGCACAAAAGAGUUACAGUGGCACCUCCACAGAGCGAACUUUUCAGGCAUCUUU
ensembl:ncRNA asRNA:CR45828 antisense RNA:CR45828